UGUUUUCAAUACAUUUGUUAUGUGACAUUUC
rnacentral:piRNA from 1 species